ACAACAUAUAUCUUUAUUAUUUUUAUAGUUGAUAGCAAGUUCAAUUGCCAUAUACAAAAAUCAGACUAAAGUUGAUCAAAAAGAAAAAGUUUAAAACAAAACUUGGAAUGCUAGUCAGAAGUCCCAAAGGGUAACCACUAUUACUCACUACACUAAGGGGAUUCAAGUGGACUUCAGUUGAGUGCCUACUAUUUCAUAUACCCGUUUCUUUCUCUCUGCCUACAUUUAGUUACUCAUUUAUCGGGCCCCUUAAGUUGGUAUUAUUAUUAUUAUUACUCUCUCUGUUUUAUAGCUGGAUUAGGCUGUGACGAGCUGUUCCAGGGUCAUGCUGGGCCGCCUUUUGCUGCUAAGUACAUCUUACAUCAGAAGGAUGACCUGUGGUGACUCAGUCCAGUUGGACUGCUGGGACUUGGUCCUGACCUCAUCCUAACAAGCUCUGGCUUUGAGGUAUUAAAGACACAGAUCUACAAUCAACAAAGUUCCUAAUGGAAAGAAAGCUCUUCUGUGAGUGACCUGAAAUGAGACCAGACAAUCAAUUGGAUGCUAAAAUUAAACCAUGACAGAGAGGGAUUGGCUAUGAGCAGAGGAGGGGAGUUUUCAUGGAUGAAUUUACUAAUGUUCAGUGGCAUGAAAUAACAUGUCUAAUUCAACAAGA